GUUUUAAUAGUUUAAAUAAAACUUUGGUCUUGUAAAUCAAAAAUGAAAUUCUUUUCUUAAAGCU
rnacentral:tRNA from 1 species